UACGGGGGGGGCAAACGUUAUUCGGAAUCACUGGGCUUAAAGGGUGCGUAGGCGGCCAUGUAAGUGGGGUGUGAAAUCCCUCGGCUCAACCGAGGAACUGCGCUCCAUACUGCAUGGCUUGAGGGAGACAGGGGUAAGCGGAACUGAUGGUGGAGCGGUGAAAUGCGUUGAUAUCAUCAGGAACACCGGUGGCGAAAGCGGCUUACUGGGUCUCUUCUGACGCUGAGGUACGAAAGCUAGGGGAGCGAACGGG
rnacentral:rRNA from 1 species